ACAGACCUCGAAUGUGACAUCAUUAAACGCUGCGCGGCAAACCAAAUCAAAGACGAGUGAUGAGUUUUGCUGCAUAAUUGUAUUUAUUAGUGUUCGUGUGUGUGUGUUUCGAAGUUUAAUCUCGGUUUUAAGUGUCACUUGUAAAAUCAGACAGUAAUUGAUACGCGUUUAACCCUUCACUACAUUUGAAUAGACUUCGUCGAAAGUGCGGGGUAUUUGUGAUCAGCUGAUCGGACCAAAAUAGCCUAAAUCCAUAGCAUUGUAAUCAGAUGACAAUUAGUAGUGUAAUACUAGAUUGAUAAGGAAUUCAGUUGGCAUAAUUCAAUUUAAGUAGAUAGAAGAAAAGAAGACUGCAGUGGAGGGCUGUUAUCACUCAGGACGUCGGCUGAGGGCGAGGGCGUUUCGACGUACACCAAGGUGCUGUUGCAAUGGCGUCGUCUUCCGCUUCAGGUCCUCCCCAGAAGGAGUACAUCAUAGGGGGCGUUAAAGUCUUGUGCCCUGUGAAGCCCUACCCCUCCCAGAUGGCUAUGAUGGCACAGAUAGUGAAAGGGCUCCAGCGACGCCAGAAUUGCCUGUUAGAGUCUCCGACGGGCUCUGGCAAAUCCCUGGCCUUGCUCUGUUCGACGCUGGCGUGGCAUCAGGCGGAAAAAGAAAAAGCCCAGAAGUACAACGACCUCAUCUUCCAAGGCAUAACAGAUCCAGAUAUCUUGGCCCGGGCCGCUGGACUGACAAAUCUACCUUCAAAUGCAGCUCCAACUCAGAGUCCCCAGGUCCUUGGGACUCCUUCCUCACCUCAAGUAUCAAGACCUCUUGACCAUGUCAGCAGUUCGACAGCAACACAGCAGUCUGCUGCUGCUGCUGCUGCUGCUGCUGCAGCUGCAGAAGCUGCAGCGACCGGCGGGGGCUUCAUACCUGGAGAUGAAUUCGACGCAGACUUUCGUUCUCAAACAGUUCAGUUUAGGAAUCCGAUUGGUAUGGGGGCUCUGGAAGGCGGAUUGGACGAAUCCAUGGAAGUGGACAACCUAGGCUCCGGAUUGCGAGCGUCUGAACCGACGUUGAUGAAGGUCCCGAAGAUCUAUUUCGGCACUCGCACCCACAAGCAGAUCUACCAGAUCAUGAAGGAACUCCGGAGAACGGCCUACAAACACGUCAGGACAACGGUGCUGAGUUCCCGCGAGCACACUUGCAUCCAUCCGACAGUCAGCAAGAUGCCCAACAAAAAUGAGGGAUGUCAGCAACUCAUUGACCCUCGUGAGGGCCCAGGUUGUAGGUUCAACCAUGGCGUUAACAAGAUCAAAACACACGACAGGUUGAGCGGUUAUGGCAUCCGGGAUGCUUGGGACAUUGAAGAUCUUGUGGUCUUGGGUAAGAAAAUUGGGGCAUGUCCAUACUUCAGCGCAAGAUCCUUGAGGGAGACAGCAGAUAUAGUCUUUUGUCCGUACAAUUAUCUCAUCGAUCCCCUCAUAAGAGAUUCAAUGGGUAUUGAAUUAAAGAACCAAAUCAUUGUUUUGGAUGAAGCUCACAACAUAGAGGACAGUGCCCGUGAUAGUGUCUCAAGCACUAUGAAAGAGGAGGAUUUCGUUGAAGCAAUAAAAGAUCUUAACAGGCUGGCUGAGUUGGAUUUCUACAAAGAAGAAUGUAACACCCUUUCUCAGGCACUGUCUGCACUCAAUGGAUGGAUAGAGUUGAAUAAAGAUAACUUAAAUGAUUACAAGGAGUUUGAUCGUUCAGGAAGAAUCCUCAGUGGCACUGAUAUGGUGGCAAAUCUCACAAAUCUAAAGAUUGGACCAGACAGAUAUGAAGAACUAAGGAAGUGCUUUCAAAUAGUGUCAGCAGAUCAAGACCCAGAUGAAAAUGAUCCACGUCUAAAGGGCCCAACUACAAUAUUUUUGAAAUCUCUCUUCCUUAUGUUUAAUUUCCUUUACAUGGAUGGUAUGAAAUUCAGAAAUGAUUAUCGUAUAGCACUUGUAAGAAAACAAAUUAGAACUACUGGCAAUCGUGAUAGAGGUGGAUACUACAGGAAAGGUAGUAGUUCUGUUAGCUGGGAGUACUUGCUACAUUUUUGGUGCCUUAAUCCAGCAGUAGCAUUCUUGUCAGUUGGAGAAAGUGUCCGGUCAGUUAUCCUUACCUCUGGAACACUUUCACCUAUGAGCUCCUUUCAGUCAGAACUGUCUGUUCCUUUUCAAAUUCAACUUGAGGCUAAUCAUGUUAUUGACAAGAACCAGGUAUGGGUUGGAACAGUCGGUAGAGGACCCACUGACCAAGUUUUGCAAGCGACUUAUCAGAAUACAGAAACAUGGCAGUUCCAGGAUGAAAUAGGAAGGCUUGUGCUAAGUGUAUGUGAAGCAAUUCCACAUGGAGUUUUAUGCUUCUUGCCUUCAUAUUCAAUGUUGAACAAAUUAUACGAAAGAUGGCAGAGUACUGGAUUGUGGGAUGAAAUAUCAAAUCGUAAGAUAGCAAUAACUGAGCCUCGAAAAAGUGAAGAGUUUGAAUCAAGCUUAAGAUUAUUCUAUGAUACUAUUGCAGAAACAAGGAAUGUGGAAAAGGGUGGCGGUAUAAAUGGUGCCUUUCUUAUGGCAGUCUGUAGAGGGAAAGUCAGUGAAGGUCUUGACUUUACUGAUGACAAUGCAAGGGCAGUCAUUUCUAUUGGGAUUCCAUUUCCAAAUGUGAAAGACAUCCAGGUUGAUCUUAAACGUCAGUAUAACAAUCAACAUUGCAGGAGUCGUGGUCUUUUACCUGGCUCAGAAUGGUAUGAAAUUCAAGCAUAUCGAGCAUUAAAUCAAGCACUUGGUAGAUGCAUACGUCAUCGCUAUGAUUGGGGUGCUCUGAUUUUAGUUGAUGAACGUUUUCAACGUGGUCAACUCUCAAGUGGUAUGCAGCAAACAAAGUACACACGCGGCCUUUCCAAGUGGGUUCGCAACAAAAUUGUGCACUAUCCUUCCUUUGCCAGUGCUCUAGCAAGCAUUAACGAGUUUGCUGAAAAUAUGGUAGCCAAUCCUCCUGUUAGACCAAGAACCUUGGAUGAAACUUUACAUGAAAACAUCUCUGAUAUCAAGAAAGAAAAUGAAGUAUCUCAUAGUUGUGUGGAUAGUCACAAAUCUGAAUUAUCUUUUAAAGGGGAAAUUAAUUUAAAAGAUGGUCAAGCAGAACUUUCAGAUCCAAAGAGUACUGUUGAUCUUCAAAUACCUAGGGACUCAAAGAAUUGUGAUGUGUCAUGUGUUACAUUAGAAGAGGAACAUGCACAAGGGGAAGACUUAAAUACUAUAUUAAAAAAAAAUCAUAAUAGUAACCAUGAAGAUCCUGAUUUCAUGUUAUCAGAAGAGACUCUAAUCAUUCCUCCCAGUCGAGUUCCAUAUACUUCAACUCAGAUUAGUGGAUUGAACGAUAUCGCUUUGCCAACUCUAACUCAGAUUUCACAAGUUAAGAGUGAUAUUACUGAAGCAAUGGGUAAUAUAGAUUCUCCAAAGAAAUGUUUUUCAUCUGAUCAGUCUGUUAUUUUAGAAACUGAAAAUCAUUCAUCUACCCAAUUGGCAGAUAUUUCUGCUACCUCAAAAGUUACAAGUCCGUGGUUUAUUAAAGCUGCUGAUUUAAUGACUCCUAAAUCACUUGAUGAAUCAAGUAGACCAUUUAGAAAAAGAAAGACUUUCUCACUGGAUACUGAAAGUGAUGUCCAGCACAACAAUACAGAAUUGACACUAAAUGCAACAAAGAGGACACCUCUACAAAGUAAAUAUAAUGAGUCCUCAGCAAAAAGAGUUUUAAAAGAUGAGGAAAAGUUACUCGUUGAAGAAAUGGAAGUAGGACUUAAUGAGAAGGAAGGUCACAAAGUAAAACAUCAGAAUAUAGUGAUAGAAACAGACAAAGGAAACUGCUCUUCUCGGGUUUAUAACUCAGAUGAUGAUCUGUUUUCUGAAAAUAUCUCUUCAAAUGAACCAUGUCUAAAGCAAUUGAAGGAAAAUAUCCCUGAAUGCUGUAGCAAUACCUUGGAUAUAAAAUUCACUCCAGGAAAAGAUAUUAGCAAGUCGAGUGGUUAUGCUUCUUCUGCAGGAAAACCAGAUAAAACUGAAAACAAAGAUACCAAGAAUCCACACAGCACCAAGAAAGUUCAGAAAAAAAUAAGCCAAUGGUUUCAAAAAGACCUCUCAGUUUUGAGUGACUCCGACAUGGAAGAUUUUUGUUUAGAAAAGAGUUACAGUACCCCAAAAUUCAAAAAAAGAUGUAAAUCCAGCAAUAAGUCCCUAAGUGAAAAUUAAGUGAACGAUGUUUCAUAGACACUUUACGUAUUUUUUAUUUCUGAAUGACUUGUUCCAUGAAAUAUGCAGGACUUAAUUCCUGUGACAUUUAACAAAGUGACCUGUCAUUUCUUGAGGCAUAGUUGGAAAAUCCUGGACAAGGCUUGAUAUAAACGCUCUUCAGUUGUCAGCCCUGCUUCUUGCCUGGAAGUCUGACAGCAGCAGUGUUUGUUCAGAACUUAGGAGCCCCUCUGCUUUGCUUCCCUGUGACAAAGAUGCCACUUCAAUAAGAUUUGUUUGUGCUGUGAUGAGAGAGAGACUUUGGAAGCAGUUAGUGCUGUCAGCAGUGUGUUCCUUGCUGUCCUCAAGAGCUCCUUGCUUGCUGACAAUACAGCGUCGUCAUGCAGGGAUACCAACCUUACAAACUGGUGUAUAUUCAGUCUCCCUAUGAUGUUCGACUUGGUACUCUUUUGUCAUAUAUAAUUGAAUUGUAGUACUGUUGUUUCAACAUUUUUCCACCCUACACACAAUGUUCUCUCUCUCUAUAUCAGUAAUCUGCAGUUUGAUGUUGUGGCUUCUGCUGACUGCAUAGUUUGACACUGCUGCGUUCGACUGAGAGGCUCAACUGCCAUCUUCGCUGUUACCAAGACCUUUGACUUGGGCUACCAGUCCAAAUGCCGUGGCAGAACUGUCAUCAUCAUCCAUGACGCCGUCGCUGUUGGGUGUCAACCCAUCAAAGGUGUUCUUCCAAGAGUUGGUUGAUUUGAUGGACUCUUUGUGUUAUUGGUAGGAGGUAUCCCAGUUUCAAGCAGGAGACAUUGUAGGGCAAGACCUCCAUCACCCUUUCUCCCUCCCCUCCCGUUUGAGAAUGAGCCUUAUGGCGUCCUCUGAAAGUGAGACAAGUGUUUCCCCAUCUUCCCAGCAAGGAUGGGACUCUCCCCUCCAAGUAUGAGAACAUUUUGCAGUCCGUGUGGUGUCUUCCGAGAGUGUGUGUGUUUCUCCAUCUUCCCAGCAUGGAUGCGAUCUCCCCUGAAGUACAUGAAGGUGUUCCAGUCCAUUUGGCAUAUUCUGAAUGUGUGAAAGGCAUUUCAACAUCUUAGCACAGACAGGACUCUCCCUUUCAAAACUGGCCAACAGUGCACGGUAAAAUUAAGUUUAUUAAAUCUUACCUACUUGUGUAAAUGAGUGCUAAAAAAAAAUUAUUUAUAUUUUCACUGCUAUGGAUGUUCCCUAUCUUGUAGGAAAUUAAAUUGGAAGGCAAGGUCUUUAAAAUAAAAAACAAUAUUGAAAUACUAUACAUU